AUUGAACUUGACCAGUUGGGAGUUCGAUUCAGUUCACUAAAAGAGUUCGAUCUUUACCAGCAUGGAGUUCGCUCUUAUUCAACAUACAAUUCGCAUAGAGAAAGGCCGAAGCGAGGAGAAUAUUGUUCGAGGCUAGCAAUCAGGCAACUUCAGGGGAUGGAACUAACCCAACCGGGGAAGGAAUUCCCCAGGUUCAGGAAGACCC
rnacentral:lncRNA from 1 species